GACGAACGCUGGCGGCGUGCUUAACACAUGCAAGUCGAACGGAAAGGCCCUGCUUUUGUGGGGUGCUCGAGUGGCGAACGGGUGAGUAACACGUGAGUAACCUGCCCUUGACUUUGGGAUAACUUCAGGAAACUGGGGCUAAUACCGGAUAGGAGCCCCUGCUGCAUGGUGGGGGUUGGAAAGUUUCGGCGGUUGGGGAUGGACGCGCGGCUUAUCAGCUUGUUGGUGGGGUAGUGGCUUACCAAGGCUUGGACGGGUAGCCGGCCUGAGAGGGUGACCGGCGACAUUGGGACUGAGAUACGGCCCAGACUCGUACGGGAGGCAGCAGUGGGGAAUAUUGCACAAUGGGCGGAAGUCUGAUGCAGCAACGCCGCGUGCGGGAUGACGGCCUUCGGGUUGUAAACCGCUUUCGCCUGUGACGAAGCGUGAGUGACGGUAAUGGGUAAAGAAGCACCGGCUAACUACGUG
rnacentral:rRNA from 1 species